rnacentral:rRNA from 1 species
GGUUAAGCGACUAAGCGUACACGGUGGAUGCCCUGGCAGUCAGAGGCGAUGAAGGACGUGCUAAUCUGCGAUAAGCGUCGGUAAGGUGAUAUGAACCGUUAUAACCGGCGAUUUCCGAAUGGGGAAACCCAGUGUGUUUCGACACACUAUCAUUAACUGAAUCCAUAGGUUAAUGAGGCGAACCGGGGGAACUGAAACAUCUAAGUACCCCGAGGAAAAGAAAUCAACCGAGAUUCCCCCAGUAGCGGCGAGCGAACGGGGAGCAGCCCAGAGCCUGAAUCAGUAUGUGUGUUAGUGGAAGCGUCUGGAAAGGCGCGCGAUACAGGGUGACAGCCCCGUACACAAAAAUGCACAUGCUGUGAGCUCGAUGAGUAGGGCGGGACACGUGGUAUCCUGUCUGAAUAUGGGGGGACCAUCCUCCAAGGCUAAAUACUCCUGACUGACCGAUAGUGAACCAGUACCGUGAGGGAAAGGCGAAAAGAACCCCGGCGAGGGGAGUGAAAAAGAACCUGAAACCGUGUACGUACAAGCAGUGGGAGCACGCUUAGGCGUGUGACUGCGUACCUUUUGUAUAAUGGGUCAGCGACUUAUAUUCUGUAGCAAGGUUAACCGAAUAGGGGAGCCGAAGGGAAACCGAGUCUUAACUGGGCGUUAAGUUGCAGGGUAUAGACCCGAAACCCGGUGAUCUAGCCAUGGGCAGGUUGAAGGUUGGGUAACACUAACUGGAGGACCGAACCGACUAAUGUUGAAAAAUUAGCGGAUGACUUGUGGCUGGGGGUGAAAGGCCAAUCAAACCGGGAGAUAGCUGGUUCUCCCCGAAAGCUAUUUAGGUAGCGCCUCGUGAAUUCAUCUCCGGGGGUAGAGCACUGUUUCGGCAAGGGGGUCAUCCCGACUUACCAACCCGAUGCAAACUGCGAAUACCGGAGAAUGUUAUCACGGGAGACACACGGCGGGUGCUAACGUCCGUCGUGAAGAGGGAAACAACCCAGACCGCCAGCUAAGGUCCCAAAGUCAUGGUUAAGUGGGAAACGAUGUGGGAAGGCCCAGACAGCCAGGAUGUUGGCUUAGAAGCAGCCAUCAUUUAAAGAAAGCGUAAUAGCUCACUGGUCGAGUCGGCCUGCGCGGAAGAUGUAACGGGGCUAAACCAUGCACCGAAGCUGCGGCAGCGACGCUGAUGCGUUGUUGGGUAGGGGAGCGUUCUGUAAGCCUGCGAAGGUGUGCUGUGAGGCAUGCUGGAGGUAUCAGAAGUGCGAAUGCUGACAUAAGUAACGAUAAAGCGGGUGAAAAGCCCGCUCGCCGGAAGACCAAGGGUUCCUGUCCAACGUUAAUCGGGGCAGGGUGAGUCGACCCCUAAGGCGAGGCCGAAAGGCGUAGUCGAUGGGAAACAGGUUAAUAUUCCUGUACUUGGUGUUACUGCGAAGGGGGGACGGAGAAGGCUAUGUUGGCCGGGCGACGGUUGUCCCGGUUUAAGCGUGUAGGCUGGUUUUCCAGGCAAAUCCGGAAAAUCAAGGCUGAGGUGUGAUGACGAGGCACUACGGUGCUGAAGCAACAAAUGCCCUGCUUCCAGGAAAAGCCUCUAAGCAUCAGGUAACAUCAAAUCGUACCCCAAACCGACACAGGUGGUCAGGUAGAGAAUACCAAGGCGCUUGAGAGAACUCGGGUGAAGGAACUAGGCAAAAUGGUGCCGUAACUUCGGGAGAAGGCACGCUGAUAUGUAGGUGAAGUCCCUCGCGGAUGGAGCUGAAAUCAGUCGAAGAUACCAGCUGGCUGCAACUGUUUAUUAAAAACACAGCACUGUGCAAACACGAAAGUGGACGUAUACGGUGUGACGCCUGCCCGGUGCCGGAAGGUUAAUUGAUGGGGUUAGCCGCAAGGCGAAGCUCUUGAUCGAAGCCCCGGUAAACGGCGGCCGUAACUAUAACGGUCCUAAGGUAGCGAAAUUCCUUGUCGGGUAAGUUCCGACCUGCACGAAUGGCGUAAUGAUGGCCAGGCUGUCUCCACCCGAGACUCAGUGAAAUUGAACUCGCUGUGAAGAUGCAGUGUACCCGCGGCAAGACGGAAAGACCCCGUGAACCUUUACUAUAGCUUGACACUGAACAUUGAGCCUUGAUGUGUAGGAUAGGUGGGAGGCUUUGAAGUGUGGACGCCAGUCUGCAUGGAGCCGACCUUGAAAUACCACCCUUUAAUGUUUGAUGUUCUAACGUUGACCCGUAAUCCGGGUUGCGGACAGUGUCUGGUGGGUAGUUUGACUGGGGCGGUCUCCUCCUAAAGAGUAACGGAGGAGCACGAAGGUUGGCUAAUCCUGGUCGGACAUCAGGAGGUUAGUGCAAUGGCAUAAGCCAGCUUGACUGCGAGCGUGACGGCGCGAGCAGGUGCGAAAGCAGGUCAUAGUGAUCCGGUGGUUCUGAAUGGAAGGGCCAUCGCUCAACGGAUAAAAGGUACUCCGGGGAUAACAGGCUGAUACCGCCCAAGAGUUCAUAUCGACGGCGGUGUUUGGCACCUCGAUGUCGGCUCAUCACAUCCUGGGGCUGAAGUAGGUCCCAAGGGUAUGGCUGUUCGCCAUUUAAAGUGGUACGCGAGCUGGGUUUAGAACGUCGUGAGACAGUUCGGUCCCUAUCUGCCGUGGGCGCUGGAGAACUGAGGGGGGCUGCUCCUAGUACGAGAGGACCGGAGUGGACGCAUCACUGGUGUUCGGGUUGUCAUGCCAAUGGCACUGCCCGGUAGCUAAAUGCGGAAGAGAUAAGUGCUGAAAGCAUCUAAGCACGAAACUUGCCCCGAGAUGAGUUCUCCCUGACUCCUUGAGAGUCCUGAAGGAACGUUGAAGACGACGACGUUGAUAGGCCGGGUGUGUAAGCGCAGCGAUGCGUUGAGCUAACCGGUACUAAUGAACCGUGAGGCUUAACCUU